rnacentral:rRNA from 1 species
GAUGAACGCUGGCGGCGUGCCUAAUACAUGCAAGUCGAGCGAAUGGAUUAAGAGCUUGCUCUUAUGAAGUUAGCGGCGGACGGGUGAGUAACACGUGGGUAACCUGCCCAUAAGACUGGGAUAACUCCGGGAAACCGGGGCUAAUACCGGAUAACAUUUUGAACCGCAUGGUUCGAAAUUGAAAGGCGGCUUCGGCUGUCACUUAUGGAUGGACCCGCGUCGCAUUAGCUAGUUGGUGAGGUAACGGCUCACCAAGGCAACGAUGCGUAGCCGAGCUGAGAGGGUGAUCGGCCACACAGGGACUGAGACACGGCCCAGACUCCUACGGGAGGCAGCAGUAGGGAAUCUUCCGCAAUGGACGAAAGUCUGACGGAGCAACGCCGCGUGAGUGAUGAAGGCUUUCGGGUCGUAAAACUCUGUUGUUAGGGAAGAACAAGUGCUAGUUGAAUAAGCUGACACCUUGACGGUACCUAACCAGAAAGCCACGGCUAACUACGUGCCAGCAGCCGCAGUAA